ACACCCCCAAAACAGUACUCCAGACAGCGUUAUACGGACAGCUAAAAUCCAAGUUUCCAGCUUUCAGUACUUCCACACAACACAUGGAGCUCAAACUUUCUGACUUUAGGUCAGUGGAAGACUAUAAGGGUUGGCGCACAGUGGAACGGUAUGCCUUCAAUCCUCGGGACUACCCAGAUGAUCAGAGCGAACAACAACGCCGGCUUGAUUUUUUUCUGGAAAGCAUCGUGCCUUCAAAGUUUGAGUGGCCUGCAGGUGUUGAAGAAGCAAGAGUUUUGUCGCCAAGCUAUGUUGAAGAUGAAGCACUUGGAGAUAAGGAAAGCUUGAUAACUGACUGGGAAGAAUUGAAACGUACACCCACCA